GGAAGGAUGCCCGAGUGGCUAAAGGGAGCAGACUGUAAAUCUGCCGUCGGAUGGCUACGGUGGUUCGAAUCCACCUCCUUCCACCA
rnacentral:tRNA from 1 species